GUGGACACAUACUGUUUGGAGAUGGGACCGAGCUGGACGUUGAGGAUGAGGAACACUCUCUUGUCUUGGUGUAUUUCUUGAGCGGAGCUUUGGCGUUCACCACCAUCCUGGUUGUUUUACUGGCUUCCUUAAUUUACAAGAUGAAGAAAACAAACAGCUUCCUAUCAGAGACACAAACAAGAUCUUCAUCCUCCAGAGCAGA